AAAUGCUUCACACCUGGUGGACAUGCCCCAUUGUACAGCCCUUCUGGAGGAAAGUCCAGGACAUCAUAGAACAAGUUUUAAGAAUUGAAACAAAGCUCAUCGUAGACAUGUGCAUACUGUUCAUACGUCCGGAACACAUGAAUAAAGUACAAUGGGCAACUACAUACCACGUACUCAUAUCAGCAGCAAUGGUGAUAGCUAGGCUUUGGAAGAUGACAACCCAACCACAAGUCAAU